rnacentral:rRNA from 1 species
UCUACGGCCAUACCACCCUGAACGCGCCCAAUCUCGUCUGAUCUCGGAAGCUAAGCAGGGUCGGGCCUGGUUAGUACUUGGAUGGGAGAAACCAUAAAGUCAGAAGAA